AACGCGAAGAACCUUACCUGGGUUUGACAUAUACCGGAAAGCCGUAGAGAUACGGCCCCCCUUGUGGUCGGUAUACAGGUGGUGCAUGGCUGUCGUCAGCUCGUGUCGUGAGAUGUUGGGUUAAGUCCCGCAACGAGCGCAACCCUUGUCUUAUGUUGCCAGCACGUAAUGGUGGGGACUCGUAAGAGACUGCCGGGGUCAACUCGGAGGAAGGUGGGGACGACGUCAAGUCAUCAUGCCCCUUAUGUCCAGUGCUUCACACAUGCUACAAUGGCCGGUACAGAGGGCUGCGAUACCGUGAGGUGGAGCGAAUCCCUUAAAGCCGGUCUCAGUUCGGAUCGGGGUCUGCAACUCGACCCCGUGAAGUCGGAGUCGCUAGUAAUCGCAGAUCAGCAACGCUGCGGUGAAUACGUUCCCGGGCCUUGUACACACCGAAUCACUAGUGAAUUC
rnacentral:rRNA from 1 species